GAAUGUGGGAAAGAGAAAGAACAAGUAAAAGGAAUUUUCAUUUUCCAGCCCCUAAUUGUUCUGUCUUUCUCCCAG
ensembl:miRNA MIR6739 microRNA 6739